rnacentral:rRNA from 1 species
AGACCCGAAACCCGGUGAUCUAGCCAUGGGCAGGUUGAAGGUUGGGUAACACUAACUGGAGGACCGAACCGACUAAUGUUGAAAAAUUAGCGGAUGACCUGUGGCUGGGGGUGAAAGGCCAAUCAAACCGGGAGAUAGCUGGUUCUCCCCGAAAGCUAUUUAGGUAGCGCCUCGUGAAUUCAUCUCCGGGGGUAGAGCACUGUUUCGGCUAGGGGGUCAUCCCGACUUACCAACCCGAUGCAAACUGCGAAUACCGGAGAAUGUUAUCACGGGAGACACACGGCGGGUGCUAACGUCCGUCGUGAAGAGGGAAACAACCCAGACCGCCAGCUAAGGUCCCAAAGUCAUGGUUAAGUGGGAAACGAUGUGGGAAGGCCCAGACAGCCAGGAUGUUGGCUUAGAAGCAGCCAUCAUUUAAAGAAAGCGUAAUAGCUCACUGGUCGAGUCGGCCUGCGCGGAAGAUGUAACGGGGCUAAACCAUGCACCGAAGCUGCGGCAGCGACGCUUAUGCGUUGUUGGGUAGGGGAGCGUUCUGUAAGCCUG